UCGAGAAUUUUUCUCAAUGGGCGCAAGCCUGAAGGAGCGACGCCGCGUGGAGGAUGAAGGUCUUCGGAUUGUAAACUCCUGUCAUUAGGGAACAAUGCCGCCGGUUAACUGCCGGUUGGAUUGAUAGUACCUGAAGAGGAAGAGACGGCUAACUCUGUGCCAGCAGCCGCGGUAAUACAGAGGUCUCAAGCGUUGUUCGGAUUCAUUGGGCGUAAAGGGUGCGUAGGCGGUAGUGCAAGUCAGGUGUGAAAUCCCGGGGCUCAACCCCGGAACUGCACUUGAUACUGCUUUACUAGAGUACUGGAGAGGAGACUGGAAUUUACGGUGUAGCAGUGAAAUGCGUAGAUAUCGUAAGGAAGACCAGUGGCGAAGGCGAGUCUCUGGACAGUUACUGACGCUGAGGCACGAAGGCCAGGGGAGCAAACGG
rnacentral:rRNA from 1 species